UGGGUUUUUCAUUUUUUAGUAUUUGGGGUUCCAAAUUUGUUAUGGUUUGUUUUAGUUUGGUUCUAAUUUGGUUGAGUAUUUGUGGCCUUGCUUCUAUUUCGUUCUCUUCAUUUUGGCUGCAGGUGACUUGUUCUUUUUUUUUUAAUUAUUAUUUUUAGUAUGGUAGCUACUUUGUAUUAAGUUUAGGGACAUUAGUUUUGCCUACACUAUAGGCUUGUGAGAUGGUAAAAUUUUGUACUAUGAAAUUGUCUAUUAUGGAAGAUACUUAUGAAUAUUAGUAGAGAAGC
rnacentral:lncRNA from 1 species